GGUAUCCUACGGGACGCAGCAGUGAGGAAUAUUGGUCAAUGGGCGAGAGCCUGAACCAGUCACGUCGCGUGAGGGAGUACUGCCCUAUGGGUUGUAAACCUCUUUUGUCGGGGAGCAAAAGCCGGACGUGUCCGUCUGUGAGAGUACCCGAAGAAAAAGCAUCGGCUAACUCCGUGCCAGCAGCCGCGGUAAUACGGAGGAUGCGAGCGUUAUCCGGAUUUAUUGGGUUUAAAGGGUGCGCAGGCGGAUUUUUAAGUCAGCGGUCAAAUCGUGGGGCUCAACCCCAUCCAGCCGUUGAAACUGGG
rnacentral:rRNA from 1 species